rnacentral:ncRNA from 2 species
UUCUUAUCCAGAGAGGCGGAGGGACUGGCCCGAUGAUGCCCGGCAACCAAUUUUCCUGUUAACAGGACGAUACUGGUGCUAAUUCCUGCAGAGCAAAUCAUGCUCUGAAAGAUGAGAA